GAAUCAACGCUGGCGGCGUGCCUCAGACAUGCAAGUCGAACGAUUAAAGCUCUCUUCGGAGAGUGCAUAAAGUGGCGCACGGGUGAGUAACACGUAAGUAAUCUACCUUCGAGUGGGGAAUAACGUCCGGAAACGGACGCUAAUACCGCAUAACGCAGCGGCAUCGCAAGAUGACAGUUGUUAAAGAUUUAUCGCUUGAAGAGGAGCUUGCGGCAGAUAGCUUGUUGGUAAGGUAACGGCUUACCAAGGCUACGAUCUGUAUCCGGUCUAAGAGGACGGUCGGACACACUGACACUGAAUAACGGGUCAGACUCCUACGGGAGGCAGCAGUCGGGAAUUUUGGGC
rnacentral:rRNA from 1 species